rnacentral:rRNA from 1 species
GAACGCUGGCGGCGUGCUUAACACAUGCAAGUCGAGCGGUAAGGCCCUUCGGGGUACACGAGCGGCGAACGGGUGAGUAACACGUGGGUGAUCUGCCUUGCACUCUGGGAUAAGCCUGGGAAACUGGGUCUAAUACCGGAUAUGAGCCUGGACUGCAUGGUCUGGGUUGGAAAGGUUUACUGGUGCGAGAUGGGCCCGCGGCCUAUCAGCUUGUUGGUGGGGUAACGGCCUACCAAGGCGACGACGGGUAGCCGACCUGAGAGGGUGACCGGCCACACUGGGACUGAGACACGGCCCAGACUCCUACGGGAGGCAGCAGUGGGGAAUAUUGCACAAUGGGCGAAAGCCUGAUGCAGCGACGCCGCGUGAGGGAUGACGGCCUUCGGGUUGUAAACCUCUUUUGACAGGGACGAAGCGCAAGUGACGGUACCUGUAGAAGAAGCACCGGCCAACUACGUGCCAGCAGCCGCGGUAAUACGUAGGGUGCGAGCGUUGUCCGGAAUUACUGGGCGUAAAGAGCUUGUAGGCGG